rnacentral:misc_RNA from 1 species
GUAGGUGAACCUGCGGAAGGAUCAUUACCGAGUAUUGGGGCCCUCUAGGUCUCUACUCCCACCCUAUGUGUACCAAUCUCAGUUGCUUUGGCGGGUCGCUGGUUCUGACCACCGCUGGCUUUUAAGUUGGCGAGUACCCGCCGGAGGACCCUUAAAACUCGUUUUAACGGUGGCUCUGAGUGAAUCUUUAAAUAGAAAAAAACUUUCAACAACGGAUCUCUUGGUUCUGGCAUCGAUGAAGAACGCAGCA